AUGCUCUGAUUGCUUAUUGCACCACAUGUGUUUUUCUUUGAAACAAACUUGCUUUGGCGGUGGGCCCAGCCUGCCGCCAGAGGUCUAAACUUACAACCAAUUUUUUAUCAACUUGUCACACCAGAUUAUUACUUAAUAGUCAAAACUUUCAACAACGGAUCUCUUGGUUCUCGCAUCGAUGAAGAACGCAGCGAAAUGCGAUACGUAAUAUGAAUUGCAGAUAUUCGUGAAUCAUCGAAUCUUUGAACGCACAUUGCGCCCUCUGGUAUUCCGGAGGGCAUGCCUGUUUGAGCGUCGUUUCUCCCUCAAACCGCUGGGUUUGGUGUUGAGCAAUACGACUUGGGUUUGCUUGAAAGACGGUAGUGGUAAGGCGGGAUCGCUUUGACAAUGGCUUAGGUCUAACCAAAAACAUUGCUUGCGGCGGUAACGUCCACCACGUAUAUCUUCAAACUUUGACCUCAAAUCAGGUAGGACUACCCGCUGAACUUAAGCAUAUCAAAAGCCGGGAGGAAUAA
rnacentral:rRNA from 1 species